UUCUGGGCUCUCAGCAUGGAUCCACCACGCCGUUGUCUGGACCUGACCCCACAAUAUCUCCGAGAGAAUAGUUGGCUAAGUGCGUGUCACUCUUCCUGAUAUUCUCAAAAUCAAUAGUUCGAGGCAUUUUUAGACUUCGCUCUGUGUGAAACUGCCAUUUCCACACCGCUCUUGCUUCCAGCUGCCUCGCUAAUCUGUCGGAAGCAACUGCUUCAGUGUGGACUCCUGCCAGUCAUCCUGCAUCAGACUCCACUCAGCCUGAUGGUUUUGUGCCACAUGCAGUCAGAUUGGGGGCAGAAGUACAGAGAUUUCAAAACAAAGCAAUACCA